rnacentral:lncRNA from 1 species
GGCCUAGUUCUGGGCCUGGGUCUGCUUGGGGCCUGUCCUGGCCCGGCCCCGGAGGCGUCUGGGAGGCCGGAGGGAGCCACUUCCGGUCCCCGCCCUCCGGCCGGAAGUAGCACGUGGUCGGGCCCCGUGGGGGCCGCCAUCUUGCGACGGCACGGCCCGAGGGUCAAACUUCCUCCCCCCUCCGCCCCGCCACCUCCUUCCUUCCUUCCUUCCUUCCUUUUCUCCGUUCAUUCGUUCAUUCGUUCAAUCAUUCGUUCACUCCUUCGUUCAUUCAUUCAUUCAUCUCUUCAUUCAUUCAUUCCUUUCUUCGUUUAUUCCUUCCUUCCUUCCUUUUCUCCGUUCAUUCAUUUAUUCGUUCAAUCAUUCGUUCACUCCUUCGUUCAUUCAUUCAUUCAUCUCUUCAUUCAUUCAUUAAUUCAUUUCUUCGUUUAUUCCUCCGUUUCUUCAUUCAUUCGUCCAUUCCUUCCUUCCUUCCUUUCUCCGUUCAUUCAUUCAUUCAUUCAUUCGUUCAUUCGUUCAAUCAUUUGUUCACUCCUUCGUUCAUUCAUUCAUUCAUCUCUUCAUUCAUUCAUUCAUUUCUUCGUUUAUUCCUCCCUUUCUUCAUUCAUUCGUCCAUUCAUUCGUUCAUUCCUUUCUUCCUUCCCUCCUUCCUUCCUUUCUUCCUUCCUUCCUUCCUGCAUUCAUUCGUCCGCUCAUUCGUUCAUUCCUUCGUCCGUUCAUUCAUUCAUUCGUUCGUUCGUUCCUUCGUUCAUUCAAUCAUUCAUUCGUUCACUCCUUCGUUCGUUCAUUCAUUCAUUCAUCUCUUCAUUCAUUCAUUUCUUCGUUUAUUCCUUCCUUUCUUCAUUCAUUCGUUCGCUCAUUCAUUCAUUCAUUCAUUCACUCCUUCCUUCAUUCAUUGAUUCCUUCGUUCAGUCAUUCGUUUGUUCAUUCAUUCAUUCAUUCGUUAAUUCAUUCAUUCCUUCAUUCCUUCGUUCACUCCUUCCUUCCUUCCUUCUUCCUUCCUUCGUCCGUUCCUUCCUUCCUUUGUUUAUUCAUUCAUUCGUUCGUUCAUUCAUUCAUUCAAUCAUAUUUCUUGAGCACUUACUGUGUGCAGAGCACUGGACUAAGCACUUGGAAAGCACAAUUCAUCAACAGAGAGAGACAAUCCCUGCCCAACAAUGGGCUCAUCAUUCAUUCAUUCUUAUUUAAUAAUAAUAAAGAAGAUGGCAUUUGUUAAGCUCUUACUCUGUGCCAAGCACCGUUCUAAGCGCUGGAGGGGGGAUGGAUAAAAGGUCAU